UACGUAGGUGACCAGCGUUGUCCGGAUUUACUGGGCGUAAAGAGCGCGCAGGCGGUCGUUCAAGUCGAGUGUGAAAGCCCCCGGCUCAACUGGGGAGGGUCAUUCGAUACUGAUCGACUCGAAGGCAGGAGAGGGAAGCGGAAUUCCCGGUGUAGUGGUGAAAUGCGUAGAUAUCGGGAGGAACACCAGUGGCGAAAGCGGCUUCCUGGACCAGUACCGACGUUCAGGCACGAAAGCGUGGGGAGCAAACAGG
rnacentral:rRNA from 1 species